GUUUCCGUAGUGUAGUGGUUAUCACGCUCGCCUCACACUCGAGAGGUCCCCCCCGGUUCGAAACCGGGCGGAAGCA